rnacentral:rRNA from 1 species
UAGAUACCCCACUAUGCCCAGCCAUAAACCUUGAUACUCUUAUACAAUUAGUAUCCGCCAGGGAACUACGAGCACCAGCUUAAAACCCAAAGGACUAGGCGGUGCCUCAGACCCCCCUAGAGGAGCCUGUUCUAGAACCGAUAACCCCCGUUAAACCUCACCACUUCUUGCCUAUUCCGCCUAUAUACCACCGUCGCCAGCUUACCCUGUGAAGGGAAAAAAGUAAGCAAAAUGGAAACUUUCCAAAACGUCAGGUCGAGGUGUAGCACACGAAGUGGGAAGAAAUGGGCUACAUUACCUGACACAGGACAUUCACGGAAAGUCACCUGAAACGGUAAUUCAAAGGUGGAUUUAGCAGUAAAAGA